UAUCAAGCAUCCUCUUGAGCUGAAUCUCUAUCCUGCUGGCUCCGAAUUGAGUUCAUUCAAAACUCUGGGCUUUAACCAACUAACCCUUAAAACUUUUACUUUGCAUCCAGGUUAUCCACACGAAAUGCUCGCACACUCUUCAUGCUUUUGCUGAGUGAGUAACACAGAGUAUGACAGACUGUGUGUGAAGUGCUAAGUGAGCAGAAGACUCUACAACAGCCUCUCACAGCUUUUGCCAGCAGCAUGUUGCCUUGGCAAAAGAACUGUCCUUUUUGCACAGCUAGUGGUACCACUGAUCAAAUGUGUUCAUGUAUCUGCCUGCGUGUGUAUGUGCGUGUGAGCGAGUGAGACCACUGCAACUCCUACUGUGUAUUUCUCGGUUUGUUCUGAACAUCAAGUUGAGUCUGAGGAUGCGAGUGGCUGCCUGCUCUGAUAAUGACAGAGUAAGCGUUGUAUUCUCGUGUGCUGUCAUCACCACUGUAUCUGUGUGUGUCAUUCAUCUUAGCAUGAGUGUGUUGCGUGUCCACACUAGAAAGGUUCUAGAGAGAGUUUUUUAUUGAGAUUUGAUAUCAGUGUGCCAUUUUAACUCAUCUGUCAGGUACAGAUGUAUGCAGACGCACACAAAUUCAUACACAGCAUAACACUUAGCCCCAUUAUUCAAACAGCGCGAGGAGGUGAGCACUAUCUUCUGACAGACCGGUGAACUCUAAAGUGUGUUUAUCAACAAAGCGCCUUGCAGCAGUGAGGAGGAGGAGGAGAUGGAGGAGAGCAGGGAGAUGAAGAGUUGAAAGUAGCAAUAGGGGUCUUUUCUAGUUGAAAGUUUACCGGAGUGUGAGCUUAGGAUCAAGGCCCAGCCGGCUGACUCUCAGCUGACCCAAGUCAAGGGAAAAAAAAGAUAGAAAACACAUCAAUUUCAAACUUGGGGGAGUUAUAAUCAGAGACUUCAGAGAAAGCGAGUGGGAGGAUUGAGUGAAAAAGAAGGGGGUUGGAAAGGAGAGUCAGUGAGGUGAUGAGUCAUAGUGACUUGUGUGCAUCCAUCCCUUGUCUUGUGUUUCUUUCCUGUCACUCUUUGUCAUACCGUAAACUUUCCAGAGAAAUGACAGUCAGAAAUGACAAAAUGAUAGCCACAAAUGAAACAUGUUUGUUGCUGUUCGUGCAAAAAUCUUUCAGUAAUUACACUAUGUUUUGUCACUGUCAGGUACCAAGAUGGCUGCCUUUAACAGAAUAUGCAGUGAGUUAUGUUCAGUUCUCACUGUGACUUUAAUUAACCACCUUUCAGUCUCAUCACAAUUUUGUAAUAGUAUCCCAAGCUAUUUUGAUAUGACCCGACAUGCCUGACUGUUCAAUUAAUUAAGCCCCAAAGUUGCCAUCGCAGCCAAAUUUUCAAGAUUGGGGAUGUCCCAAGGCUGCUUAUAUCAUGGAAAUUUUUUCACCACAGCCUUCUAAAUUUGGGAUGAGCAGGCCUAAUUAGAGGUUGAUUUUGGUUGCAUGGCUUUGGCUGCACUGCUGAGUUUUUAUCCAACCUUAAAGCACACCAGAGGGCUGUUUUGGUGUCUCAGCAGAAUUAAGUGCAUACCAUCACAAGUGUUGAUGUCGCUCACAGCCCAGAAUGUUUUUUUCCUGUCACUCUUCAUUUCAUGCUGUUAGAAUUUGAUAAUCCAUCUGAGGAAAGCAACCUUCCUCCAACGAUUUUGAUACGAAAAUAAAAUGAAAACAGAAGUGACAGAGAAACAAUCUCCAUUUUCAGGAAGAGCUUCUGUUCAACAUUUUUUUCUUUUCUGUUAUCAUAUAUAUAUCACUGUUAAUUACAUGAGGCUGAUAGUAUUUAGAGUUUUUUUGAUGUGUGCAGUAUGUGCUUCAAAAAGGACAUCCAUAAAAUAACAUACAGUAAGAAUAAUGUUUGUAUGCCUUCAUUAUGCUUCAUUAUGUGACAGGAUGUUACUUUCCACUUACAAUAUAUCUGCAUUGCCAAAAGCAAAGAGCCUGAAGUUCAGCCCAUUACUUGAAUCUAAGUUAUCCUCAGGCCUCUUUUCCAUCCAGCAGGGUUUUAUGAGGGUAUAUUUCACUGACUCACUGGCACAGCUGAGCAGGGAAAUCCUUCUCUUCACGGUCUAGUUGGGAUGACUGAUGUAAAUAUGCUGCUGCUGAGUCCAGACACUGACACCAUCAUCACACUGACCCAGUUAGAGAGAGAAGGAGAGAGAGAGGGAGAGAGAGAGCGAGACGGAGAGAGAGAGAGAGAGAGAAAGAGAGAGAGAGGUUCCAAGUCAUUUGUGACACGCAUUUAUUCUUGUGACUCCACACGUUUUUAAGUAGUUUCCAAGACUUUAAGAGCUUUGAGCCAUGUGUGGUAGUUCAUUGAUGUGGGAAGAAGGAUUAAGACAUGUAUUUCAGGUCAUCUGGGAUGCAUGCACUGAAUGACUGGACAUUUUUUCUGGACAUGCUACAAAGAAAGAGAGCAGCUUUAGACCAUUUGUGUUUUAUAUUAUAUGUUUUCUGUGCAACUAAACAUGGUUUUCCUCUGUGCUGUACUUUCCUAGAUGACACAUACCAUACUGUCGCUGUUAUCUAUGCAUGCAACCUCUGACCCAGUCAUUUUUUUGAGAUGAAGUUAAGAAACAAAGUUGACUGGUGGUAGGAAGAGAAUAUGAGCCACAGUCAGACUUGCCAAGUCAUCUACCCCAGUCAAUAAAGGCACACUACUUCUGCCUUUGCUUCUGAGAGAGGACAGUCCUAAGCCAAAGACCAGCAGAGACAGGGUUUAUGAUCUCCUACCCAUAUACAACCACUUGUUAUUACUUGGACAAGAUUUUACUCUUGGGUCACUUGUUAACACCUGAGCCAGCUCUAUUUGCUUAAUGAAGACCAUGACAUGUGGUUGACAACUCUGAAAGCCAGGAUGUGGACCUCUGAGCUUAGAUUAUUUUUUUAGAUGUAAAAAAAGGUUGUUUUAGGUGUUUGAACAAACUAUACAUGCAAUUGUUUUUGGUGAGGUCUUCUUAAAACCAUCCUGCUUCUGCUGUGACUUAUUAAUGCCAUCAUAGUCAUUCUUCUCACUGUGUGUACUGUGUAGUGAUUGUAAUUACAUGAAUAAAAAUAUCUUUCAAACGUACUAAAAGUCACGUGACCCACUCAUUCACCUGUGUAGGGUUAGGCUUCUACUGUUCUUGUUUGUAUUCCAUGUGAGCGUUGGUGGCCUUACUGCUCGUUAACCUUUCCUAAUACGACCUGCAUGUAUUAAUAACACUCGGCGGGAAAGGUCAAUCGAUGGAUGCGUGCAUGUGUGUGUGUGUUUUUUUCACUGGGAAUGCUUAUGCAGACUAUAAGUGGCUUGGUAUAGGAGGUAUAUGGGCUUGUCAGUGAACUGGUGAGGGUAAAUUGGAUUUGCUUUUAAUAAUUAACCAGGACUGAUGGUUUAAUGUUGUGUUGUGCUUCAGGGGGAAAAUCUAGCUAAUGAUGACAUGUAAUCAAAUCUAUUGUGUAUCAUGAUGUGUGUUCUUUCUAUGUUCUGUACCAUCACUUCCAGAUUAAAAUACCCUUGUUCUACUA